rnacentral:tRNA from 1 species
GCCCCGGAGUCUCCGUUGGCGAGGGACGCCGGACUUUGAAUCCAGAGGUCGCCGGUUCGAUUCCGGCCGGGGC